rnacentral:rRNA from 1 species
AGUUCGGAUUGCAGCCUGCAACUCGGCUGCAUGAAGCUGGAAUCGCUAGUAAUCGCAGAUCAGAAUGCUGCGGUGAAUACGUUCCCGGGUCUUGUACACACCGCCCGUCACACCAUGGGAGUUGGAAAUGCCCGAAGUCAGUGACCGAACCGAAAGGAAGGAGCUGCCGAAGGUGGAGCCGAUGACUGGGGUGAAGUCGUAACAAGGUAAC